rnacentral:rRNA from 1 species
UACGGAGGGUGCAAGCGUUAUCCGGAAUCAUUGGGUUUAAAGGGUCCGCAGGCGGGCAUCUAAGUCAGUGGUGAAAGCCUACAGCUUAAUUGUAGAACUGCCAUUGAUACUGUAAGUCUUGAAUUCGGUCGAAGUGGGCGGAAUGUGUAGUGUAGCGGUGAAAUGCAUAGAUAUUACACAGAACACCGAUAGCGAAGGCAGCUCACUAGGCCUGGAUUGACGCUCAGGGACGAAAGCGUGGGGAUCAAACAGGAUUAGAUACCCUGGUAGUCCACGCUGUAAACGAUGAUUACUCGUUUUCGGCGAUAUACAGUCGGAGACUAAGCGAAAGUGAUAAGUAAUCCACCUGUAGAGUACUAUCGCAAAGUUG